GUACUCUCUUUGGCAGCACAUAUACAGAAAUUGGAACUAUGCUGAGAAGAUUAGCAUGGUCCCUGUCUGAUGCAAAAAUUCCUGAAGCAUUCCAUAGUUUU
ensembl:snRNA U6 U6 spliceosomal RNA